AAACUCUGUUGUAAGGGAAGAACAAGUACAGUAGUAACUGGCUGUACCUUGACGGUACCUUAUUAGAAAGCCACGGCUAACUACUUGCCAGCAACCGCGGUAAUACGUAGGUGGCAAGCGUUGUCCGGAAUUAUUGGGCGUAAAGCGCGCGCAUGCGGUUCUUUAAGUCUGAUGUGAAAGCCCACGGCUCAACCGUGGAUGGUCAUUGGAAACUGGGGGACUUGAGUGCAGAAGAGGAAAGUGGAAUUCCAAGUGUAGCGGUGAAAUGCGUAGAGAUUUGGAGGAACACCAGUGGCGAAGGCGACUUUCUGGUCUGUAACUGACGCUGAGGCGCGAAAGCGUGGGGAGCAAACAGGAUUAGAUACCCUGGUAGUCCACGCCGUAAACGAUGAGUGCUAAGUGUUAGGGGGUUUCCGCCCC
rnacentral:rRNA from 1 species